GUGACUGUUCUUCCCUUGCCAUACCUCAAGUCGCUGCAUUUUGGCUGCUGUCUGUAGAUUCCUUCAUGCACCACUCGUAUUCUUUCGGCUGUGUUAACAACGGCGAUG